CUAGGGUUUUAGGGUUCUUCGCGUCGAAUCCUCUCCGUUUUUGGAGUAUUCCUGGAUUCUCAUGGUUUGGAAGAAAUUGCACACAAAUGCUAUUCAGGAGAACAACUGAAAGAUGCGUUGUCCAGCUGGAGCCAUGCUUUCGCCGUAACUGCAGGGGAUAAGAGCUAUCGAAGGAUUGUCCCUGAAACUGCAUUCCAGCAUUAGAGAUUGCUUGGAAGCUCGUUCUUUCAAGAAAAUGAAGAGACUAAGACUCCUACAACUUGAUCAUGUACAACUUAGUGGAGAUUAUGGGUAUUUCAAGCAAUUGGUGAUUGGUGCUGUCAGAGGAUUUCUAAGACCAUAUUCUCUUGUAAGUAGUGAAAAUUGGGUUGCUCUGUUUGCAUCAAUGGUUAAUGGUCUGAUAAUUGGGUUGCUCUGUUUGCAUCAAUGCUUAAUGGUCCUGUUCAGUUUUUUAUUAUAACCACUUAUUAGUUAUGAUUGCAUUAAUGUUUGCAUCUGAUAUUCUUUCAUGACUAAUUUUAGUUCAUAUCUUGUAAUAUACCUGUAAUGAAAUGAAAUAAAAACCAGAGAAUAAGAUUUUUCA